rnacentral:ncRNA from 1 species
UAAUGCCAAGGGAAAACCCGGUUAAACACGGGGAUACAAAGCCAUAGGGUCUACGGCGUUUUACACUAUGAUAGUCUGGCUGCAAAC